AUGGCGCAGGGGCAGGAGUCGUCGACGCAGGCCGCCGCAGCGCCAGCGCUGUGCUCGAACGGCUGCGGGUUCUACGGCAGCGCGGCGACCAAGAACAUGUGCUCCAAGUGCUACCUGGAGCACCUCAAGGCCACCGACACGGCCGCCCCCGCCGCCGAGGGGAAGACGAAGAUCAAGGCGGACGUGGCCAGCCUCGCCUUCAACCUCAAGACGUCGCUGAGCCUGCAGGACUCCGCCGCCGCCGUCGCCGAGGCACCGGCGGCCGAGGCGCCGGCGAAGAAGGCGGCGACGACCAGGUGCAUGGCGUGCAAGAAGAAGGUCAGGCUGCUGGGGUUCGCGUGCCGCUGCGGCGGCACCUUCUGCUCGCUGCACCGCUACGUGGACGGGCACGCGUGCGACUUCGACUACAAGAAGGUCGACCGCGAGAAGAUCGCCCAGCAGAACCCUCUGAUCACGCCGUCCAAGAUCGACAAGAUUUGA
rnacentral:rRNA from 1 species